AGGGCGGUUCUCGGUGGUUUUUUUUGCUAGCAUUUUUUUCUGCCCACAUUCCCACGUCCAUCCACAAAACUAGGGCAGAUGAUUAUCAACUGAACAAUUUUCUCUUCCAAAAAUAACUGUAAAUUGGGUAGUUUACGGCAGUUGCUAAAAUUGUUCCUAAUUUCCAGGCUUUUAGCUAAAAAAUAGCAUCCACUCUCUCCUAAUUUGCGGUGGUUUACGGUGGUUUCCUGAUCGUGGAGACUUUCUCCGUCUUUCUCUGCUACUGCAACCGUAUACUAUCUCCUUUAUAUUCCACAAAAAUUUCAGUAUUUCUAUUUCUAUUGAAACGCAUCUUCUCCACCAUUACUCCCUCCUUCGUGACGGCAUGACAGUGAUUCCAGAGAGAACAUAAAUGAUGACACAGACAUUGAUCGUCCAACUAAUAGUCGUUCUGAAUAGUACAAACGACCUAAUCCUUCUUCUUCGCGGCCACCUUCAAAGUGAUAACAAGCGUCGUGGUACAAGCCCUAGCCCUCCUCUACCUCCGUAUCUUGACCGUCAUGGUGGACACUCUUCAUCUCCUCAAAAAUCAUCUCCAUUUACUUCGUUUAAGCGGUUCUGCACAGACAAUCGCGGCUACGAUGGUCGUGGCAGGCCUUGCUAAGGUUUCGGAUCUGGUGAUAAAAGUUCUAUUCAACUCAAAUUAUCUGAAUUCUGUAAUAUGCCUUACAAAAUUCGUACUCAAUGGAGCUUAAUAUUGAAGAGGGUUACCGCGGUGAAAACGGAGAUUUAUCAACAUGAGAAACAUGGAUGUAUUUAUAAUGGAAAGAAUUGAUGGAGAACAAAGAUUAUAGAAGAACUGAAAUGAAGAUGACGAUUUUGAAUUCAAAGCUUGAAUUGGAGAAAAUGUCACGCUUUCAAACGUCUCAUUCAGGGGCGGUUUAGCAUGGGAGUCAUUCAGGUGCACUGUAUCUUUCCUAUUUGCCUUUGAUGCAAGUUUUAGGCAAUUCAUAAGAGUAAAAAGGAAAAGGAGGUCUAUGCUGAAAUGAUAUACAAGAGUAGAUAUUUCAAGGUUCUUAUCAGUGAUCAUUGUUGAUAUAUUAGUAGGCAUGGAAGCUAGGCACAAGGAAGAAAAUGAUCACUAACUGAUCAAAAAAUUGGAUGAACAGUUCAUAGAAAAGAAGUAGAACCUGAUCAGGAAAAAGUUGAUGCUUGUGAUAUGUGUGCUCGCCCAUCAAAUAGACCAGAAACACAUGAAGAACUUGCAUAAGACGACAAAGAGCGAUUAGAACAUUUGGAGGCAAAGACGUUAAUGGCAUUUCUGCAACUAACUUGGGUAGAUUCAUCUUGGUUAGAAAGAAUGGUAUGUGAUAUCAUCCACUGGGCAGCCAUGGGAACUAUCUUCAUUAGUUUCUCUUGACACAACUGAAAGAAUGUCACCAUCUUAUAGGACAUAUGAAAGAGAAACUCAUUGAUGCGGUUCAUAUUGGUGACAUGAAAAUCCUCAAGAUCUUGCUUAAUCUCAGGAAUGACCCGCUGCGACUUGUGUAAGGUUAGAAAUAAUCAUUCCUCUAGAUUGUUAUUCUCUUUAAUGAUCAUGCAUACCAUAUCUAAAGCAUUUGCAGUUCCACAACUUUUUAGUAUGUUCAGUUAUGAUACAAAUAUGUGUUUGUUUACAUGUUAUGAACAUGUGAAGUGUUUUGCUUAACGAGGUAUUUCAGUGUAGUACAUUGAAAUACCAGACAAGAGACGGGUCAAAUGGUUGGUAAUUGCAAAAGUUAUCAAAACUCUUUGUUGGGUUAAUCGGUUUGUUCGCGGGUCACAGGUUAGCAGGUUAGCAGUGAGUUUUAACAGGUCAGUAGACCUAGUCUUGGUCUCGGUUUGACCUGGUUCUGGGGGGAUAUGGACCAAGUUUUUACAUUUGAUGUUUAUGUGUUUAUUACAAAUAGGAUAGCAGUGGUUUUUCUAUGGUACACUUUAACUCUGGCUAUAUUUGUUUCAAGCAAUAAAGGAGUAAUAAAUUCAUUUUCAUUC